rnacentral:siRNA from 1 species
AACUGCUAUUAGAUAUCCGCCUA